rnacentral:rRNA from 1 species
GUGCCAGCAGCCGCGGUAAUACAGAGGUCCCAAGCGUUGUUCGGAUUCACUGGGCGUAAAGGGUGCGUAGGUGGUGAGGCAAGUCGGAUGUGAAAUCUCGGAGCUUAACUCCGAAACUGCAUUGGAAACUGCCUUGCUUGAGGUUUGGAGGGGGGACUGGAAUGCUUGGUGUAGCAGUGAAAUGCGUAGAUAUCAAGCGGAACACCAGUGGCGAAGGCGAGUCCCUGGACAACACCUGACACUGAGGCACGAAAGCUAGGGGAGCAAACAGGAUUAGAUACCCUCGUAGUCC